rnacentral:lncRNA from 1 species
AGCUGCAGUGCAUGGCCCCCAGAGGGCUCUUCAUCCUGUUAAGGUGGUCCAAAUAUGUCCAUAUUCUAGUAAGGAGAACCAAGGAGCAAAAUCAAGGUCAGUGAGAUGUGAGUUAAUGACCCAGGAAGUAGAACAAGGUCAGUGAGGCGUCUGUGAAUUUAUCAAUAAGAUAUUUGCCAUCAUUUACCUACUAAUAUUCUAGAGAAUUAUUUGUCUUUUACACCUGUGGAAGAUACUGGUUAACAGUUGGGGGUUGUCUUCACUUUGUUUAAU